GGCCCGAUGGUCUAGUGGUACGAUUCUCGCUUUGGGUGAUUACGUAAUCACAAUUGCGAGAGGUCCCGGGUUCGAACCCCGGUCGGGCCC
rnacentral:tRNA from 1 species